GGAAGUAAAAGCCGUAACAAGGGCUCCGUUGGUGAACCAGCGGAGGGAUCAUACCGAGUUUACAACUCCCAAACCCAAUGUGAACGUUACCCACCUGUUGCCUCGGCUGGAUCUCUGCCCCGGGUGCGUCGCAGCCCCGGACCAAGGCGCCCGCCGUAGGACCAACCAAAACUCUUAUUGUACACCCCCGCGCGGGUUUUUUUAUACUCUGAGCCUUCUCGGCGCCUCUCGUAGGCGUUUCGAAAAUGAAUCAAAACUUUCAACAACGGAUCUCUUGGUUCUG
rnacentral:misc_RNA from 1 species